CCCGCAACCAGCGCAACCCCUAUCUUUAGUUGCCAUCAUUAAGUUGGGCACUCUAGAGAGACUGCCGGUGAUAAACCGGAGGAAGGUGGGGAUGACGUCAAGUCAUCAUGCCCCUUAUGUCCUGGGCUACACACGUGCUACAAUGGCCGGUACAGACCGAAGCGAAGCGGCGACGUGGAGCCAAUCGGAGAAAGCCGGUCCCAGUUCGGAUCGGAGGCUGCAACCCGCCUCCGUGAAGUCGGAAUCGCUAGUAAUCUCGGGUCAGCAUACCGAGGUGAAUACGUUCCCGGGCCUUGUACACACCGCCCGUCACACCACGAAAGUCUGCCACACCCGAAGCCGGUGGCCUAACUCGCAAGAGAGGGAGCCGUCGAAGGUGGGGCCGAUGAUUGGGGUGAAGUCGUAACAAGGUAACCAA
rnacentral:rRNA from 1 species